rnacentral:rRNA from 1 species
UACAGAGGUCUCAAGCGUUGUUCGGAUUCAUUGGGCGUAAAGGGUGUGUAGGUGGCGCCGUAAGUCGGGUGUGAAAUUUCGAGGCUUAACCUCGAAACUGCAUUCGAUACUGCGGUGCUUGAGGACUGGAGAGGAGACUGGAAUUCAUGGUGUAGCAGUGAAAUGCGUAGAUAUCUGGAGGAACACCGGUGGCGAAGGCGGCAUCCUGGACCACGACUGACGCUGAGUGAGCGAAAGCCAGGGGAGCAAACGGA